rnacentral:rRNA from 1 species
AACGAACGCUGGCGGCGUGCCUAACACAUGCAAGUCGUGCGAGAAAGUUCCUUCGGGAGCGAGUAAAGCGGCGCACGGGUGAGUAACACGUAGGUAACCUGCCCCCCAGUCUGGAACGACUAGAGGAAACUCUAGCUAAUGCCGGAUGAGACCACGAUCCCUUCGGGGGUUGCGGCCAAAGAUGGCCUCUACUUGUAAGCUAUCGCUGAGGGAUGGGCCUGCGGGCCAUUAGCUUGUUGGUGAGGUAACGGCUCACCAAGGCUGUGAUGGCUAGCUGGUCUGAGAGGAUGACCAGCCACACUGGGACUGAGACACGGCCCAGACUCCUACGGGAGGCAGCAGUGGGGAAUAUUGCGCAAUGGGCGAAAGCCUGACGCAGCGACGCCGCGUGGGUGAUGAAGGCCU